rnacentral:rRNA from 1 species
UACGUAGGGGGCAAGCGUUGUCCGGAAUCAUUGGGCGUAAAGAGCGUGUAGGCGGUCCGGUAAGUCGGCUGUGAAAGUCCAGGGCUCAACCCUGGGAUGCCGGUCGAUACUGCCGGACUAGAGUUCGGAAGAGGCGAGUGGAAUUCCCGGUGUAGUGGUGAAAUGCGUAGAUAUCGGGAGGAACACCAGUGGCGAAGGCGACUUCCUGGCCUGUUCUUGACGCUGAGGCGCGAAAGCUAGGGUAGCAAACGG